ACGACUCUUGGCAACGGAUAUCUAGGCUCUUGCAUCGAUGAAGAACGUAGCGAAAUGCGAUAUGUGGUGUGAAUUGCAGAAUCCCGCGAACCAUCGAAUCUUCGAAUGCAAGUUGCGCCCGAGGCCGUCGGGCCGAGGGCACGCCUGCUUGGGCGUCACGC
rnacentral:rRNA from 2 species